rnacentral:lncRNA from 1 species
GCUCCCGCAGGAGUUCGGUCGAAGUCCACAUGCAAUUAAGGUCAGGGACGAAGUUCGGCUCCAGUAGGAGUCCGGACGGAGUUUACCUGCGAUUAAAUUCAGGGGCGAAGUCCGGCUCCCUUAAGAGUCCGGAUGAAGUUUACCUGUAAGUGAAGUCGUGGGUGGAGCCCGACUCCCAUAGGAGUCCGGGCGAAGCCUUCCCGCAGUCGAGGUCGAGGAUGGAGCCCGGCUCCCAUGGGAGUCCGGGCGAAGCCUUCCAGCAGUUGAGGUUGGGGA